UAGUCCACGCUGUAAACGAUGUGCACUAGAUAUUGUGGGAUUUGACCCCUGCAGUGUCAAAGCUAACGCAUUAAGUGCACCGCCUGGGGAGUACGGUCGCAAGACUAAAACUCAAAGGAAUUGACGGGGGCCCGCACAAGCGGUGGAUUAUGUGGUUUAAUUCGAUGAUACGCGAGGAACCUUACCAAGGCUUAAAUGCAGAACGACAGGCUCGGAAACGAGUCCUUCUUCGGACGGUCUGCAAGGUGCUGCAUGGUUGUCGUCAGCUCGUGCCGUGAGGUGUCGGGUUAAGUCCCAUAACGAGCGCAACCCCUAUCCUUAGUUGCCAGCAUGUAAUGAUGGGGACUCUAAGGAAACUGCCCGUGCAAACGGUGAGGAAGGUGGGGAUGACGUCAAAUCAUCACGGCCCUUACGUCUUGGGCUACACACGUGCUACAAUGGUUGGUACAGAGAGCAGCCACUUGGUGACAAGGAGCAAAUCUCAAAAACCAAUCUCAGUUCGGAUUG
rnacentral:rRNA from 1 species